CUUUCUGAUUAUGGAUCUUAAGAAAUUUCCCUGAGAGGGCUCCGCCCUGUACCCUAUACUUGGGGAAGGAAUGCUGAUGUCACAAAGCUUCCAUAAAAAUCCAAAAGGACUGGGUUCAGAGGGCUUUUGGAGAGCUGGACAUGUGGAGGCCGACAGGAAGGUGAAGAAGUCAUCUGCGUGCUGUGAGGGUGGCGCACCCCAACUCCAUGGGGACAGAAGGUCCUGCAUUUAGGACCCUUCCAGACCUCACACCUAUGUAUCUCUUCAUCUGGCUGAUUACUUAUAUCCUUUCAAAGACGCUUCUUAGUAAACUGUGCCUCCCUCACAUGGCCAGCGGAGAAGGGCCUUGCCCUACCUCUCAGACUGCAGCCCUGAGCCACUCCUUGGAGGUGAGGAGCACCAUUCACCUGAGCAGCUCCCCGCCCUGGUGUCUGAGAAAUAAAUCUGCCUUCAGUCAUACGGUUCUACCAAUCUGAGCACACAGGACCACCUGAUAGGGUACUGAGGAUGGCUUCUGACCUGGAGGCAUCAAGGACCUGAAGGCAGUAACCAUUUCAGAGGACAGCCACAUCCCUCAAAUUACAAACAUCUAAAAUGUCCAUUAACUGUUGAGUGGAUAUAUAAAUUCUGAUGUUUUAUAAAAUGGCAUACCCUACAUCAAUGAAGAUGAAUGAAUUACUUCUGCAUAAAACAAUAUACAUGCAUCUAACCAAUAUGACACUGAGUGAAAAAAGACAUCCAUAGAAGAGCACAGCUCACCAUUCAGGAGACAUUUAUUCAUUGAUUUACUGCUUGCCUGGAGUUUGUUUCUGUCCACGUAAUGUCGCUCACUGUCUGUGAGGAGACUGAGAUCUGUUUUAGUUCCUGUGAUUCAUCUGCCCUGAGGCCAGGUCAGGGGUAUCUUCUCCUAGGAUGAAUUCC
rnacentral:lncRNA from 1 species